ensembl:snoRNA SNORA73 Small nucleolar RNA SNORA73 family
CUAACGUCUUUCCUAGAACACGCAGGCGCGAUCCAGGUGACGUAGGGGAGCACGGGCUCGGCCCCGUGACGCGCAGUCCUUUCCCACGGUGUUGGAGAUGCCGCCGGGUCUGCCGUCUGCACCUGCACAUUCCCGUGGCUGCUCAGAGCCCCAUGGACAGUGCCCGAGCACACGAACCACGCAGGAAACACCU